AAACAUGUCUUUUUGAAUUGUAUUUAAAGUCUGACCUGCCCCCUGAAUAAUUUUAAAUGGCCGCAGUAUUUUGACUGUGCAAAGGUAGCAUAAUCAUUAGUCUUUUAAUUGAAGGCUGGUAUGAAUGGUUGGACGAAGUAUAAGCUGUUUCAUAUAAAUUUAUUAUAGAAUUUUAUAUUUUAGUUAAAAAGCUAAAAUUUUAUUAAAAGACGAGAAGACCCUAUAAAUCUUUAUAAUUAAUAUUGAUUAAUUUUUGUAGAUUUAGUUUAAUUUUUUAGUAUAAAUUAUUUUGUUGGGGUGAUGUUAAAAUUUAAUUAACUUUUAAUUUUUAGAAUCAUUAAUUUAUGAAUUAUUGAUCCAUUAAUAGCGAUUAUAAGAUUAAGUUACUUUAGGGAUAACAGCGUAAUUUUUUUUGAGAGUUCCUAUCGACAAAAAAGUUUGCGACCUCGAUGUUGGAUUAAGGUAUAAAUUUGGGUGUAGCUGUUCAAAAAUUAAGUCUGUUCGACUUUUAAAUCCUUACAUGAUC
rnacentral:rRNA from 1 species